rnacentral:rRNA from 1 species
AGAGUUUGAUCCUGGCUCAGGACGAACGCUGGCGGCGUGCUUAACACAUGCAAGUCGAGCGGAAAGGCCCUUCGGGGUACUCGAGCGGCGAACGGGUGAGUAACACGUGAGGAACCUGCCCCUAACUCUGGGAUAGCUUCGGGAAACCGGAAUUAAUACCGGAUACGACUGCGACCGGCAUCGGUCGCAGUGGAAAGAUUUAUCGGUUAGGGAUGGUCUCGCGGCCUAUCAGCUUGUUGGUGGGGUAACGGCCUACCAAGGCGACGACGGGUAGCCGGCCUGAGAGGGCGACCGGCCACACUGGGACUGAGACACGGCCCAGACUCCUACGGGAGGCAGCAGUGGGGAAUAUUGCGCAAUGGGCGAAAGCCUGACGCAGCAACGCCGCGUGGGGGAUGAAAGCCUUCGGGUCGUAAACCCCUUUCAGCAGGGACGAAGCGAGAGUGACGGUACCUGCAGAAGAAGCGCCGGCUAACUACGUGCCAGCAGCCGCGGUAAUACGUAGGGCGCGAGCGUUGUCCGGAAUUAUUGGGCGUAAAGAGCUCGUAGGUGGUUUGUUACGUCUGCUGUGAAAACCUAGGGCUUAACCCUGGGCCUGCAGUGGAUACGGGCAGACUAGAGGUAGGUAGGGGAGAAUGGAAUUCCCGGUGUAGCGGUGAAAUGCGCAGAUAUCGGGAGGAACACCGGUGGCGAAGGCGGUUCUCUGGGCCUUACCUGACACUGAGGAGCGAAAGCGUGGGGAGCGAACAGGAUUAGAUACCCUGGUAGUCCACGCCGUAAACGUUGGGCGCUAGGUGUGGGGUCCUUCCACGGACUC